CAAAACGGUCUCGGAUACUUUCAUAUACUUCUUCUUGUUUCCAGCUUUUAAGAUCUCCAUAACUUUUAAUUUUGGAACAGUCAUCGGUAUUGACAAUUCCACUAUCCAAUCCUUCUCUCAACUUCGGCAAUAAAUGAACAUGAAUUAGCGAAUAAGCAAAUACAAAUUACGUUCAGUCAACAUCAAGCUUUAUAUCAAUGCUAAAACUAACAACACAUCUAAAAGUAUUACUUGUUGAGGAAGACCUCAAAUUAAGAAAAAAAUAAUCAAGGAAAUAACCAUACAAAUAAUAUCAAGAAAGACCUUAUUCCCUUCGACCUUCGGCUUAAAAAAUUCAUCUUCAUCACUUUCUUCACCCUCAAUACUAUCCUGCACUUCUUUGGACGAAGUUUCUGAUGUUGAUGUUGAUUUCCCAUAUACAAGCUGAAUGAGAUUGGCGC
rnacentral:lncRNA from 1 species